GCGGACGUGGUGUAUGGUGCACGGCCCAGCAUCCUUCUCAAGCGAUAUCAAGGAAAGUUGAUUGGGCAGGUCGGGGUUCGAUUCCCCGUGUUCGCA